rnacentral:rRNA from 1 species
AUUGAACGCUGGCGGCAGGCCUAACACAUGCAAGUCGAGCGGAUGACGGGAGCUUGCUCCUUGAUUCAGCGGCGGACGGGUGAGUAAUGCCUAGGAAUCUGCCUGGUAGUGGGAGACAACGUUUCGAAAGGAACGCUAAUACCGCAUACGUCCUACGGGAGAAAGCAGGGGACCUUCGGGCCUUGCGCUAUCAGAUGAGCCUAGGUCGGAUUAGCUAGUUGGUGAGGUAAUGGCUCACCAAGGCGACGAUCCGUAACUGGUCUGAGGGGAUGAUCAGUCACACUGGAACUGAGACACGGUCCAGACUCCUACGGGAGGCAGCAGUGGGGAAUAUUGGACAAUGGGCGAAAGCCUGAUCCAGCCAUGCCGCGUGUGUGAAGAAGGUCUUCGGAUUGUAAAGCACUUUAAGUUGGGAGGAAGGGUUGUAGAUUAAUACUCUGCAAUUUUGACGUUACCGACAGAAUAAGCACCGGCUAACUCUGUGCCAGCCGCCGCCGUAAAAC